rnacentral:misc_RNA from 1 species
AACUUUUAACAAUGGGUCUCUUGGUUCUGGCGUCGAUUAAGAACGCAGCGAAAUGCGAUAAGUAAUGUGAAUUGCAGAAUUCAGUGAAUCAUCGAAUCUUUGAACGCACAUUGCGCCCCUUGGUAUUCCGGGGGGCAUGCCUGUUCGAGCGUCAUUAUAACCCCUCAAGCUCAGCUUGGUGUUGGGGCCUGCCGUCUGGCAGCCCUUAAAAUCAGUGGCGGUGCCAUCUGGCUCUAAGCGUAGUAAUCUUUCUCGCUACAGAGUUCUGGUGGAUGCUUGCCAUCAACCCCCAAUUUUCUAUGGUUGACCUCGGAUCAGGUAGGGAUACCCGCUGAACUUAAGCAUAUCAAUAAGCGGAGGCU